rnacentral:rRNA from 1 species
CCCAGUUAUCGACGUAUAUACAUGCAGUCGAACGAACUCUGGUAUUGAUUGGUGCUUGCAUCAUGAUUUACAUUUGAGUGAGUGGCGAACUGGUGAGUAACACGUGGGAAACCUGCCCAGAAGCGGGGGAUAACACCUGGAAACAGAUGCUAAUACCGCAUAACAACUUGGACCGCAUGGUCCGAGCUUGAAAGAUGGCUUCGGCUAUCACUUUUGGAUGGUCCCGCGGCGUAUUAGCUAGAUGGUGGGGUAACGGCUCACCAUGGCAAUGAUACGUAGCCGACCUGAGAGGGUAAUCGGCCACAUUGGGACUGAGACACGGCCCAAACUCCUACGGGAGGCAGCAGUAGGGAAUCUUCCACAAUGGACGAAAGUCUGAUGGAGCAACGCCGCGUGAGUGAAGAAGGGUUUCGGCUCGUAAAACUCUGUUGUUAAAGAAGAACAUAUCUGAGAGUAACUGUUCAGGUAUUGACGGUAUUUAACCAGAAAGCCACGGCUAACUACGUGCCAGCAGCCGCGGUAAUACGUAGGUGGGAAGCGUUGUCCGGGAUUUAUUGGGCGUAAAGCGAGCGCAGGCGGGUUUUUAAGUCUGAUGUGAAAGCCUUCGGCUCAACCGAAGAAAUGCAUCGGAAACUGGGGAAACUUGAGUGCAGAAGAGGACAGUGGAACUCCCUGUGUAGCGGUGAAAUGCGUAGAUAUAUGGAAGAACACCACUGGCGAAAGCGGCUGUCUGGUCUGUAACUGACGCUGAUGCUCGAGAGUAUGGGCAGCAAACAGGAUUAGAUACCCUGGGUAGUCCAUACCGUCACGAUGAAUGCUAAGUGUGGAGGGUGUGCCGCCCCUUCACUGCUGCAGCUAACGCAUUAAUCAUUCCGCCUGGGGAGGACG